UGGAGAGUUUGAUCCUGGCUCAGGACGAACGCUGGCGGCGUGCUUAACACAUGCAAGUCGAACGGAAAGGCCCUUCGGGGUACUCGAGUGGCGAACGGGUGAGUAACACGUGGGUGAUCUGCCCUGCACUUUGGGAUAAGCCUGGGAAACUGGGUCUAAUACCGAAUAGGACCACGCGCUUCAUGGUGUGUGGUGGAAAGCUUUUGCGGUGUGGGAUGGGCCCGCGGCCUAUCAGCUUGUUGGUGGGGUAAUGGCCUACCAAGGCGACGACGGGUAGCCGGCCUGAGAGGGUGACCGGCCACACUGGGACUGAGAUACGGCCCAGACUCCUACGGGAGGCAGCAGUGGGGAAUAUUGCACAAUGGGCGCAAGCCUGAUGCAGCGACGCCGCGUGAGGGAUGACGGCCUUCGGGUUGUAAACCUCUUUCACCAGGGACGAAGCGUAAGUGACGGUACCUGGAGAAGAAGCACCGGCCAACUACGUGCCAGCAGCCGCGGUA
rnacentral:rRNA from 1 species